UUUACAUUAAGUGUUCUUUAACGCGUUUUAUAAAGCCCUCGAACCUAUUGGUCAAUCGCACUUCAGCGUGAUAUGCCAUCGUACUUUAGCAAACAAACAACCAUCACACUUUAGCGUCAGACACCUUCGUACGUUAGCGUACACCAUCGCACUUUAGCGUGACCAUCGCCCUUUAGAGUACCAUCGCACUAUAGAGCCCUACAUAUAUGCCCGAGAGAUAUACAUACGAUGAACGAUCGUUGUACUAAACUGACGAAAAGCUGACUGAGCGGUGUACUGACGCCGAAUGAACUAGGAACCAUAAACAAUACGAUAACUGCUCUUUAAAGGUACAUCGUAUAGUUGAACGUGC
rnacentral:lncRNA from 1 species